GUUAUAGGGUCAAGCGAACAAGUGCAUGUGGUGGAUGCCUUGGCGAUCACAGGCGAUGAAGGACGCGGUAGCCUGCGAAAAGCUACGGGGAGCUGGCAAACGAGCUUUGAUCCGUAGAUGUCCGAAUGGGGAAACCCACUCCUUAUGGAGUAUCCAUGGCUGAAUACAUAGGCCAUGUGAAGCGAACGCGGUGAACUGAAACAUCUAAGUAACCGCAGGAAAAGAAAUCAACCGAGAUUCCCAAAGUAGUGGCGAGCGAAAUGGGAUGAGCCUUGUACUCUUUAUUUGUAUUGUUAGCCGAACGCUCUGGAAAGUGCGGCCAUAGCAGGUGAUAGCCCUGUAGGCGAAAACAGUAUGAAAGAACUAGGUGUACGACAAGUAGGGCGGGACACGUGAAAUCCUGUCUGAAGAUGGGGGGACCAUCCUCCAAGGCUAAAUACUCGUGAUCGACCGAUAGUGAACCAGUACCGUGAGGGAAAGGCGAAAAGAACCCCGGGAGGGGAGUGAAAUAGAUCCUGAAACCGCAUGCAUACAAACAGUCGGAGCCUCGCAAGGGGUGACGGCGUACCUUUUGUAUAAUGGGUCAGCGACUUACGUUCAGUAGCAAGCUUAACCGUAUAGGGCAGGCGUAGCGAAAGCGAGUCCGAAUAGGGCGUUCAGUUGCUGGGCGUAGACCCGAAACCAGGUGAUCUAUCCAUGGCCAGGAUGAAGGUGCGGUAACACGUACUGGAGGUCCGAACCCACUAACGUUGAAAAGUUAGGGGAUGAGCUGUGGAUAGGGGUGAAAGGCUAAACAAACCUGGAAAUAGCUGGUUCUCUCCGAAAACUAUUUAGGUAGUGCCUCGUGUCUCACCUUC
rnacentral:rRNA from 1 species